UCCUGGUUAGCCUAGUUGGCAGUGCACUCUACUGGAAAUGAAGAGGUCCCAGGUUCGAUACCAGGAUCAGGGG
rfam:Ixodes scapularis strain Wikel colony gcontig_1108378892254, whole genome shotgun sequence.